rnacentral:rRNA from 1 species
GACGAACGCUGGCGGCGUGCCUAAUACAUGCAAGUAGAACGCACAGUUUAUACCGUAGCUUGCUACACCAUAGACUGUGGGUUGCGAACGGGUGAGUAACGCGUAGGUAACCUGCCUGGUAGCGGGGGAUAACUAUUGGAAACGAUAGCUAAUACCGCAUAAUAUUAAUUAUUGCAUGAUAAUUAAUUGAAAGGUGCAAUUGCACCACUACCAGAUGGACCUGCGUUGUAUUAGCUAGUAGGUGAGGUAACGGCUCACCUAGGCGACGAUACAUAGCCGACCUGAGAGGGUGAUCGGCCACACUGGGACUGAGACACGGCCCAGACUCCUACGGGAGGCAGCAGUAGGGAAUCUUCGGCAAUAGACGAAAGUCUGACCGAGCAACGCCGCGUGAGUGAAGAAGGUUUUCGGAUCGGAAAGCUCUGUUGUAAGAGAAGAACGGGUGUGAGAGUGGAAAGUUCACACUGUGACGGUAUCUUACCAGAAAGGGACGGCUAACUACGUG